GUAACAAAAUCUCUCUCUCUCUCUCUCUCUCUCUCUCUCUCUCUGUAUUCUCUUUCGUUCGGAUCUAUUUCGAAGAUACAGAAGCACACGAGGCUAUAUAUUCACAAUCUUGUGUGUACAUGCAAAUGUUUGAUUUAUUGCGGCGGUCUCUAAUUCGCUUGGUGCAGGUCGGGAACUUUCUUCGCCGGUUAUGUCGUUUCAACUUUCACGUUCCCGCCUUGCACUAAGCAAAUUAGAGACCGCGGUGAAUGUUACAUCGUAAAGGACGGUGUUUCAUCUUAUUCCGGUGGAUCUCUUUAUUGAUUUGGUUCAAUUGUAGGUUUGGAUUUGAUUUGUUUUCAGCUGAAUGCGUUGGAAUGACUCAGAUAAUUUACGACUAUUCUAUUUGAGUGACAGAUCUUUUGGACUUUGCAGUUUAUAUGGUGGGCUAGAGCGAAGUUUGGGCUGUAUUGCCAUGAUGUCCUUGGAUUGAUCAUGUUGGGUCAAUAUUUUGGACCUCUUGACUUUCAAGCAAAAGGUCAGAAUGACAUUGCUUGAAUAGAUUGUCUAUUUGCUGACUUUGUGUGUUUCUUCAUUUUCAUAUAUAAGUUUCUUAUUCAUGGACUAUGUGGGACACAUUCCUAUGGAAGUAGCAAUUUUAAUGCCAGAAGUGUGUUACUCAUGGAUUAUGUGGGAUCUUCAACUAGAUAAGCAACAACAGUUUUGUCUUCAAGCCACAAAAUCUUCUAUCUUUCCAUGGUGUGCGACUUAUAUAAGUAGACAUGACUUUGGACAUGGCUUGCUCACAAGAGAAGGCAAAAAUUUCAACCUCGUGACCACGAAGCUUAAGGUGGUUUAACGCCAUCAUGACAUUUUCUUUAGCAUGUUGUCUAUGUUUCGUAUUGACACUUGGUCGAACCACUGGGCCGACCCACUGGUCCCAUGGCCCACUCCUUCCGAACCGUUUGGCAUCUUAUUCGAGGCCCAUUGGCCCCUUGUUGGUAGAAGUUCACCCACCAGCAUACUAUAACAACGCCAGACGUGGUCCAAGUGCUUCCGUUGAAGCUAAUAUGCCGAGGCCCUUCUUUAGCCGAGGCCCUUCCUUAUCCGAGGUCCUUCCCCUUUGAAAUCUUGAGGCUCUAGGUUGCACUCCUCCUCAGAGAUUCGGUCUUACACAAUGAUCCUUCUUGAUUGAUGGAACGUUCAUCAUAGAAUAGAAGUGUCUUGUCUUAUCAAUGUAGUGGCAGAGCCGCCAACUAAUAAAUGUGCAGCAGGCUAGGAAGUCAAUUAUGAUGCCUAUAACUUGACAUGUAAACUUAAGAGAUAAGAUCACGUAUACUCCCAACCAAGGUCCACGAUCUAAGUUGUAAAACUAUAAAUACUCUCCCAUGUAUCUCUCAAAAUGUUAAUGCAAUAUUCAACACAAGAACAAAUAUAA